rnacentral:tRNA from 1 species
AUUAAUGGAGCUUAAUUUCCAAAGCAAGGCACUGAAAAUGCCUAGAUGAGUUAUCUCCUGACUCCAUAAACA